rnacentral:rRNA from 1 species
UACGUGGAGGGCAAGCGUUGUCCGGAAUUAUUGGGCGUAAAGAGCGUGUAGGCGGCCAGAUAAGUCCGCUGUGAAAUCUCGAGGCUCAACUUCGAGCUGUCGGUGGAAACUAUCUGGCUAGAGUCCGGAAGAGGAGAAUGGAAUUCCUGGUGUAGCGGUGAAAUGCGCAGAUAUCAGGAAGAACACCCGUGGCGAAGGCGGUUCUCUGGGACGGUACUGACGCUGAGACGCGAAAGCGUGGGGAGCGAACAGG